CUGUUGAGUGAAGUUUAGAAUAUAGUUUGACGAAUUUAUUCUGUUUCGUGUUAAUUCUCCGAUAAUGUGCAUCCACGUCGAUUUCGAUUAAUGAAGGCCUUAUUUAACUCGAGUGUUUUGUGCGCAAAAGUGAUAUUUAAUGAAAUGGACUGGUGUCGUUAAUCAAAUUAAAAGGAUGAACGACCUUUUAUACAUCUCCAUACCUAUAAACAAACAGCUGUAAAUGUCUACACUUGUUGCACCCACUUUCAAAAAUUGAAGAAUUUACAUGUUUAUGUGAGAAAGUGAACUUGAUAUCUUAUUUACAUGACAUAGAUACCAAAGGUUCUUGUUAUUUGAUUUACCGUUAUGUUUUACCGAACGUGGGAAUUAAAUCAUGUUUUCAUUGCAAAGAUCGUUAGUUGCACCUGCAGUGCAGUGAUUGCGUCGUGCAUCGUGUGAUUAUGGAACCUUUGUGAUGGAAAUCCUGUUAGUUGAUACGUGGAAAUUAUCGCAGCAAGUAAAAAUAACACGAUACGACAAGUCCCUUUUGAGGAGUCAUCAGACCCCAAAAUGAGUCAUGCGUGGUCAGGUACGAUUGUUUUGUAUCGGCGGAAUGCCAUUCCAGUGACUAGUGCAGUGGUAUGCAAAAUCCUUCCCUUAACCUCCUUGGUGCAGUACAGAUAAAAGAAAAGACAACAAAGUGUAAAUGAAAACGAACUUGGUGUUCUAACUUUGAAAAAUUAUAAAGAAACUAAUUUGGCGCCUACAUGAAACUUUUUUAUGAGAAGGACACAAAAUGUGUUAAAUAAUUUCAAGAUUGAAAUGGCACAAGGUUCAAUGGAUUCCGACAGACUAUCUUCUGCUGGGUUAUCAACACACAGCUCUGGAACUGCAGGGACAGUAGGAGGUUCAGUAGUGGGAGUGAGAGUUGGAGAUCAAGGGCAUAAAAGAGAAGAUGAGGAUGAAUACAACUUAGGACCUUUGCCUCCAAUGUGGGAGAAGGCAUUUACUCCUUCCGGGGAAGCUUAUUUUAUAGACCACAACACCGGCACUUCGCACUGGCUAGAUCCCCGCUUAGCCAGAGUCCGCAAACACUCGCUCGGAGAGUGUGGCGAGGACGAACUUCCGUACGGCUGGGAGCGAGUAACAGACGAACGCUAUGGUUCUUACUAUGUGGACCAUAUUAAUAGACGCACUCAGUAUGAAAAUCCAGUUCUGCAAGCCCGAAGAUUGAGAGCUGAAAAGCUGGUGUCGGAAAAUGGAGGCGGUGGCCAGUCGAACGGUCCAGCACCGACAGGAGAACUGCGAGGAGAACGCUUCACCCUAUCCCUUACUAAAGGCACACAGGGUCUGGGCUUCACAUUAAUAGGUGCUGAAGGAAUACCUGAAACAGAAGGCUACCUCCAAAUUCGCAGCAUUGUGCCCCACAGCCCUGCUUGGAUAGACGGAGCCCUGCGGCCAGGCGACGUGGUGGUGGGAGUGGGCACGCGGCCCGUGCGCGGACUGUCGCACGCGCAGGUCGCGCACAUCUUCCAGUCCAUUCCGCCGGGUGCAGAAGUCACGCUGCACCUUGUUCGAGGUUACCCGUUAUCAGUCGACACGGAAGACCCGAACACUCGAGUCCUGAGUACACUAGCUGUCGAUAAUACCACUGCACCGCCGUCCGAUGCCACUGCUAUGCAGCAAUUGACCAGAGCAUUAAGAACCAGAUUCAAUCUAGACUCCCCUAACCACGUCGACCCGAACUCAACCCGCGACGAGCCAGACUCCUCCCCAGCCCCCCACAGCCCCAACCAACGGCGCCUACUGUCGCGCUCCUUCGACCUGGACGAGCUGGGCUCCAGCGAACCAGCACCAGCGCCGCCCAGAUGCCCUUCGGCGGAUCAUUUGUUGUCGCUUGCUACAGACCAUCCACGCAAUGACAGGAGUGCGACAAGCGAACCUGGCAGGGAGUUAGUGCUCACUCUGCGUAGAGGCGCCGCGGGAUUCGGUUUUACUAUAGCCGACAGUGUGCACGGGCAGAAGGUUAAAAAGGUACUGGACCGUAGCCGCUGCGCAGGUCUCCGCGAAGGUGAUUUGCUGCUUCAAAUUGGUGACACGGACGUUCGGCACGCGCCUCACCAACAUGUAGUUCAAGCAUUGAAAGACUGUCCAGCAAUGCACGAAACUAAGCUCCGAGUAUGGAGAAGAAACAACACAGUAGCCAGAGCUCCAAGGAGCAGAUCUGCUACUAGAGUUCAACCUUCAACGUCGAACGUCAACCAAAUGGGCAACAGAAGCAAAACACCAACAGCAGAGCAGUUGAGGUCUCCAGCUCUUCAUACGCAAGAUACUUUGAGAGAAAGACUGAAUGGGAUGAAUUCAGAAGCAACGUACGCGGUUCCCGAACACAAAUCACGUGAACGAGAAAGCUUAAUUGAUCGGCGCCGACGAAGUAGCACCCCUGGAGGACGCCUCACCCUUCCAGUUGUCACACCCUGGACAGAUAAUCAGCCUGACAACCAAUGGCAGGAAAGAGAAACCUGGAUGGAUAACUCUAGUAACGUUCGAAAUUGGGCUGAGAGUCAGAAAUGGGACGAACAUGGACAGAAAUGGGAUCAGAAUGGACAGAAAUGGGACCAAAAUGGACAGAAAUGGGACCAAAAUGGACAGAAAUGGGAUCAGAAUGGACAGAAAUGGGACCAGAAUGGACAGAAAUGGGACCAGAAUGGACAGAAAUGGGACCAAAAUGGACAGAAGUGGGAUCAUAAUGGUCAAAAAUGGGAUCAGAAUGGACAAAAGUGGCACGAAGGAACGAGUAACGGUAACGGUUGGGAUGGACGGAGAUGGGAGAAUGGUAACUGGGGGGAGGUCCCCACUCCGACGGUACAUGUUGACAUGAGUGCUGCUUACUGGAGAGGGAACGCUAGCGUCGCCGAUAGCAGUGAUAACGGAGGUUUCCCUGAAGAUGGUAUGCUGCAUUCCCCCACGACAGCUGCUAUUAGUGGUCUGGCCAGACAGUCUCCAGCCAACAGCCGAAUGCGACAUUCACCGUCUAACUCAGGCCGUCUGCGAAGUCAUUCGCCAUCAACCAAUAGUGCAACAGACAGAUUGCUAGCGAACUCUCCUUCAACCAGACUACAAAGCCAAUCGCCUUCCAAUAACUCUUCCAAUGGACGUAUUAAGGGGUCACCGUUAAGAUUACGAGAGACAUCACCACCUCGACAUAUGCAUUCGCCGGUGUCAAGACGAUCCCCAUCUUGCUACGAAACUGAUUCCCUGGCACAACCUAAUACAGUUUACGUGCCUAAUUACCCACAGGUAGAAGCAGGUGGGAGUACAGAUCCCGAAGCAGAUGUACUAGUACGCCUAGCACGAGGCAGCGCCGGAUUCGGGUUCCGGAUAGUCGGAGGCACCGAGGAUGGAAGUAGAGUCGCCGUUGGAUACGUUGUGCCAGGUGGUCCAGCUGAUGGUCUCCUACGCCCCGGGGAUUUGCUAACAUCAGUAGACGGCAUUCCGCUUGCCGGAGCUACACACGCUCGAGCCGUCGCUUACGUCUGUCAAGCUGCUUCUAGGGGUCAUGUAACUUUAGGAGUACGGCAUAAUAGAGCGGACAUCCAGCCUCUAGGUCUACCUACAAUGGUCGCGCCACAUGCACAUCUUACCUCACCUCACGCACCUUUACUUGCCGCGGAGCCAUCAAUGCAAGGUGUAGGCGGAGGGCCAUACAACAUCUUGCAUCCUGCUCCAGUCUACCCUCCAGCACCACAUCUCUCUAUGCCAAUGUAUGGAGUGCAGUACGAUAGCGUAACUUGGGCCCCCGUGCCCUAUGACGUCACCGUGACAAGAAACGAAGGCGAAGGCUUCGGAUUUGUCGUUAUCUCCUCGACGAACAAAGCGACUAGCACUAUUGGUCAAUUAAUCCCUAACUCGCCAGCAGCCCGCUGCGGCCUCCUCCACGUCGGAGACACGAUAGUGGCAAUCAACAGGGUCUCCAUUCGGAACCUGCCACACCCCGAAGUGGUCGCCUUGAUCAAGCACAGCGGUACCUCUGUCACUUUGACAGUAUUACCGCCGGACCCAAGAGGUGAUUGAUCCACAGUUAACUUACCUGUAAAUGGUAAAUAUGACUUGAACGUAACUAUUGAAGUUUUGGAAAAAUACACUACGUGAAGUGAUCCCGAUACAUACAGACUAUAAAUAAGGCAGUUUUUGUUUAAUACUCUGGUCACACAGAGGCGGCCGUAAUGCACAAGUUUAUAUGAACUCUGCCAUACUGAAACGGGGUGCGGGGGCGGGUGCGGGCGUGCGAGUUGUAUUCCAUUAAGUGCUAUGCAACCGUCCACACAGAGCGGUAGCUACGGGAGGGGGACUUUAGCUGGCUUUGAUGUUGUAUUUUUUUACAACUCUUGAGUGUGUGUUAUUAAGUUCCAAUAUCAAUUCGACCGAAUUUGUUUUUUGUGUUCCUUCCGUAAAAUUUCUUGAUCAUUACCCGACAGCGAUGUGGUUUAUUCUUUAAAAUCUGUAUUGAAAGUGAAAAGUGACCGCUUUUGGUGUCACAUUGACCGUCUUCGGGUCGCUAUUCCGCUGCGGAUUCCUGUGUGUCACGCCACGGUUCGCAUUCGCUUCCCGCAGGUCCGACCCCGGACAGCUUUUCCCGCUGUACAGCCUCUGUGUAGCUUGAGCUUAAGUCAUUCUAUUGCUUCAAAUAUUAUUUUUAUUGAACAUUGUUAUUACGUUUACGUAUUAGUUUUAUUGAAAGUUGAUUGAAAAGAACUUACUUUUUUGUGAAAUCACUCCACUAGUUAG